rnacentral:lncRNA from 1 species
ACAUGGAUCAGUGUUUGAAGAGUCCAGAGGAUCAGUAUACCAACAGAUAUCAAGCACAUUUCCUCAAAAAUGUUGUGCCCUUUUUUGUUUAUGAAGACCCCUUUUUCAUGGCACUUACUGACUUGACUAUGUGCUUCUCUGCUCUUACAGCAAGUGUAUGCUGUGUCUUCUUGAAACACAGAGAAACUCCUAUAGUCCAGGCCAAUAAUGAAAUGCUCAUGUGGAGGUCUUCUGUAUCUUGGCCUCUAAUGCAAGUCUACUUCUUUGUUACUUUGCCUCAAAGUGUUAUACUAUUUUAAGUC